GACGAACCGUGCGAACGUUGUUCGGAAUCACUGGGCUUAAAGGGCGCGUAGGCGGACCCCCAAGUCCGGGGUGAAAUCCUCCGGCUUAACCGGAGAAUUGCCUGGGAUACUGGGGGUCUUGAGGGAGGUAGGGGCACGCGGAACUUCCGGUGGAGCGGUGAAAUGCGUUGAUAUCGGAAGGAACGCCGGUGGCGAAAGCGGCGUGCUGGCCCUCUUCUGACGCUGAGGCGCGAAAGCCAGGGGGGCGAACGGG
rnacentral:rRNA from 1 species